UCUCCCAAUCCUUGUACCAGUGUCUGAUUUUAAGCUGACGCUGGGCAUGGUUUGGGGGGGGC
ensembl:miRNA mir150 microRNA 150